rnacentral:rRNA from 1 species
UACGGAGGGGGCGAGCGUUGUUCGGAAUCACUGGGUGUAAAGUGUGCGCAGGCGGCCGAGCAAGUCGAGUGUGAAAGCCCCGAGCUUAACUUGGGAAUUGCGCUCGAAACUACUUGGCUGGAGUGUGGCAGAGGAAGGUGGAAUUCCAGGUGUAGCGGUGAAAUGCGUAGAGAUCUGGAGGAACACCGAUGGCGAAGGCAGCCUUCUGGGCCAACACUGACGCUCAUGCACGAAAGCGUGGGGAGCAAACAGG